AUCGUUCCGGCGCCGCUCGCCCUCCACUCUCCCGACCUCCACUACUGGUCGUCUCUCACCUCCACCACCGCCGCCCGGGUCAACCUGCAUCCGCCACCGACGCCCACCUUUAAUGUCUGUGACUUCCACCGUCGCUUGCCUGCAGCUCCGACCCUUGCUGCAUCCCACCUUCGUCGGACCACUCCGCCCAACACGGCUUCCCUGGACGCGAUGAUUGUACCCCGUGCUCCCUGCUCCAGAUCUGGGUAAGUCUGUUGUUGCACAUCCAGUAAACUCCUGCUCCUCCUCGUCUGACGUGACAGCAGCGGCCUCCUCCUCUCCGUUUUGUCCAAGCCAGUUGAUCCAUUUUUCUGUGCUUGAAUCUGCCAUAUCAAGGAUCCUUUGUUGAAGCUGCAGCCACACUGGUACAACUUCUAUAUAUCGCCUCCCUUCACAAAUAAUUUUGGCAGUAAACGUUCAAUUUUAGAAGCAAGUUAGUCAUAUUUUAGUUAGCAAUGUAAGUAAUUAUUUGCAUAGUUGUGCCACUCUCUUUUAGGUUUUGUUUCUCAUCUUUAGAAGUCUUUGUAGUGGAAGGAAGGGCAAGGCAAAACCUGUCUCAGGUACCUUGUUGUUUGGAACAUGUCAUCCCUUGAGCUCGGCACCUGUUCGCAUAUGCCCUGUUCGAAGAGUGAGUCAGUGCGUGUCCGUGCUCUGUUUUACGCGCGCGCGUGUGUGUGUGUGUGUGUGUGUGUGUGUUUUGGUUCAGGUGCAAGCCCAUGGAUGCUAAAGACUAUGAGGAGUACAUACCUCUUCUUUAUGAAGUUCUCGCAGGUCAGCAACAUGAGGGCAAAAAGGGCAGGACCUCGUUAAGAAUGUCGUCCUAGUGGGCACAAGGUCGAACAUGAAGCUACCAGGAACACCGAGUUAUCCUCUGUUAGCUUGGAGGAUGGUGCUAUGGGCGACCACGUCGGCAAUGGCAACAGCGAAGGCAACAAUGAUGUUGAGAACAUGGUGGUAGCCUAAGGUGACUUAGAAACUUAUGAAGGUGUAGAUGAUGCUCCAGAUCAUGAACCAGUGGGCUUAGAAACAUGAGUCUUAUUGUUUUGGGUGGCGGUGGCAUGUAUGCGUACAACUGACAUGUUACUGCUGUUGAGCAAAUAAAACAACAGCAAUUAAAAUUUUCAGAUGUCA